rnacentral:rRNA from 1 species
UUAGUGAACCAGUACCGUGAGGGAAAGGCGAAAAGAACCCCGGCGAGGGGAGUGAAAAAGAACCUGAAACCGUGUACGUACAAGCAGUGGGAGCACAGGUUUACCUGUGUGACUGCGUACCUUUUGUAUAAUGGGUCAGCGACUUAUAUUCUGUAGCAAGGUUAACCGAAUAGGGGAGCCGGAGGGAAACCGAGUCUUAAUUGGGCGUUAAGUUGCAGGGUAUAGACCCGAAACCCGGUGAUCUAGCCAUGGGCAGGUUGAAGGUUGGGUAACACUAACUGGAGGACCGAACCGACUAAUGUUGAAAAAUUAGCGGAUGACCUGUGGCUGGGGGUGAAAGGCCAAUCAAACCGGGAGAUAGCUGGUUCUCCCCGAAAGCUAUUUAGGUAGCGCCUCGUGAAUUCAUCUCCGGGGGUAGAGCACUGUUUCGGCUAGGGGGCCAUCCCGGCUUACCAACCCGAUGCAAACUGCGAAUACCGGAGAAUGUUAUCACGGGAGACACACGGCGGGUGCUAACGUCCGUCGUGAAGAGGGAAACAACCCAGACCGCCAGCUAAGGUCCCAAAGUCAUGGUUAAGUGGGAAACGAUGUGGGAAGGCCCAGACAGCCAGGAUGUUGGCUUAGAAGCAGCCAUCAUUUAAAGAAAGCGUAAUAGCUCACUGGUCGAGUCGGCCUGCGCGGAAGAUGUAACGGGGCUAAACCAUGCACCGAAGCUGCGGCAGCGANNGUUGGGUAGGGGAGCGUUCUGUAAGCCUGUGAAGGUGUGUCGUGAGGCAUGCUGGAGGUAUCAGAAGUGCGAAUGCUGACAUAAGUAACGAUAAAGCGGGUGAAAAGCCCGCUCGCCGGAAGACCAAGGGUUCCUGUCCAACGUUAAUCGGGGCAGGGUGAGUCGACCCCUAAGGCGAGGCCGAAAGGCGUAGUCGAUGGGAAACGGGUUAAUAUUCCCGUACUUGGUGUUACUGCGAAGGGGGGACGGAGAAGGCUAUGUUGGCCGGGCGACGGUUGUCCCGGUUUAAGCGUGUAGGUGUGUGUUCCAGGUAAAUCCGGUUCACUUUAACACUGAGGCGUGAUGACGAGGCACUACGGUGCUGAAGUAACAAAUGCCCUGCUUCCAGGAAAAGCCUCUAAGCAUCAGGUAACAUCAAAUCGUACCCCAAACCGACACAGGUGGUCAGGUAGAGAAUACCAAGGCGCUUGAGAGAACUCGGGUGAAGGAACUAGGCAAAAUGGUGCCGUAACUUCGGGAGAAGGCACGCUGACACGUAGGUGAAGUGAUUUACUCAUGGAGCUGAAGUCAGUCGAAGAUACCAGCUGGCUGCAACUGUUUAUUAAAAACACAGCACUGUGCAAACACGAAAGUGGACGUAUACGGUGUGACGCCUGCCCGGUGCCGGAAGGUUAAUUGAUGGGGUCAGCGCAAGCGAAGCUCCUGAUCGAAGCCCCGGUAAACGGCGGCCGUAACUAUAACGGUCCUAAGGUAGCGAAAUUCCUUGUCGGGUAAGUUCCGACCUGCACGAAUGGCGUAAUGAUGGCCAGGCUGUCUCCACCCGAGACUCAGUGAAAUUGAACUCGCUGUGAAGAUGCAGUGUACCCGCGGCAAGACGGAAAGACCCCGUGAACCUUUACUAUAGCUUGACACUGAACAUUGAGCCUUGAUGUGUAGGAUAGGUGGGAGGCUUUGAAGUGUGGACGCCAGUCUGCAUGGAGCCGACCUUGAAAUACCACCCUUUAAUGUUUGAUGUUCUAACGUGGACCCGUGAUCCGGGUUGCGGACAGUGUCUGGUGGGUAGUUUGACUGGGGCGGUCUCCUCCUAAAGAGUAACGGAGGAGCACGAAGGUUGGCUAAUCCUGGUCGGACAUCAGGAGGUUAGUGCAAUGGCAUAAGCCAGCUUGACUGCGAGCGUGACGGCGCGAGCAGGUGCGAAAGCAGGUCAUAGUGAUCCGGUGGUUCUGAAUGGAAGGGCCAUCGCUCAACGGAUAAAAGGUACUCCGGGGAUAACAGGCUGAUACCGCCCAAGAGUUCAUAUCGACGGCGGUGUUUGGCACCUCGAUGUCGGCUCAUCACAUCCUGGGGCUGAAGUAGGUCCCAAGGGUAUGGCUGUUCGCCAUUUAAAGUGGUACGCGAGCUGGGUUUAGAACGUCGUGAGACAGUUCGGUCCCUAUCUGCCGUGGGCGCUGGAGAACUGAGGGGGGCUGCUCCUAGUACGAGAGGACCGGAGUGGACGCAUCACUGGUGUUCGGGUUGUCAUGCCAAUGGCACUGCCCGGUAGCUAAAUGCGGAAGAGAUAAGUGCUGAAAGCAUCUAAGCACGAAACUUGCCCCGAGAUGAGUUCUCCCUGAGACUUAAAGUCUCCUGAAGGAACGUUGAAGACGACGACGUUGAUAGGCCGGGUGUGUAAGCGCAGCGAUGCGUUGAGCUAACCGGUACUAAUGAACCGUGAGGCUUAACCUU